UACGGAGGAUCCGAGCGUUAUCCGGAUUUAUUGGGCGUAAAGGGAGCGCAGGCGGUUUGUUAAGUCUGAUGUGAAAGCCCACGGCUCAACCGUGGGACUGCAUCGGAUACUGUGGAUCUGGAGUGCCGGAGGGGCAAGCGGAAUUCCUGGUGUAGCGGUGAAAUGCGUAGAUAUCAGGAGGAACACCGGCGGCGAAGGCGGCUUGCUGGACGGCAACUGACGUUGAGGCUCGAAAGCGUGGGGAGCAAACAGGGUUAGAUACCCUGGUA
rnacentral:rRNA from 1 species